rnacentral:rRNA from 1 species
GAUGAACGCUGGCGGCGUGCCUAAUACAUGCAAGUCGAGCGAAGCGGGGAAGGGUGAGUAACACGUGGAUAACCUCCUAUAAGACUGGGAUAACUUCGGGAAACCGGAGCUAAAUCGGAUACUUAAAGAUGGACCCGCGCUGCAUUAGCUGGUUGGUACGCUAACGGCUUACCAAGGCAACGAUGAAUAGCCGACCUGAGGGGGUGAUCGGCCAAACUGGAACGGGGACACGGUCCAGACUCCUACGGAGGGCAGCAGUGGGGAAUCUUCCGCAAUGGGCGAAAGCCUGACGGAGCAACGCCGCGUGGGGAAUGAAGGUCUUCGGAUCGUAAAACUCUGUUAUUAGGGAAGCGGUACCUAAACAGAAAGCCACGGCUAACUACGUGCCAGCAGCCGCGGUAAUAC